AUACGUACCUGGCAGGGAGAUACCAUGAUCACAAAGGUGGUUUUCCCAGGGCGAGGCUUAUCCAUUGUACUGCAGGUGUGCUGACCCCUGCGAUUUCCCCAAAUGCAGGAAACUUGACUGCAUAAUUUGUGGUAGUGGGGGACUGCAUUCGCGCUCUCCCCUA
rnacentral:snRNA from 1 species